GUUGUGAUCAUUUCUGCUGAAAUAGAAAGGUUGAGAAGAGGAUUUCUUCUUUGGCUGCCAACUUUCAGGUUUCAUUUUUUUUUUGUCUUUUUUUUUUACAAUACGAAUUUAUUUUUUUAUUAUUAAAGUAUAGUUGAUUUAUGUUUCAUCAAGUUCUGUUGUACAACAAAGUGACCCAAUCACACACAUUUCCCUGUGCUGUACAGUAGGAUCCCAUUGCCUAUCCAUUCUGAAUAAAACAGUUUGCAUCCAAAAAAAAACAAAACCCAAAUGCCCAUCCAUCCCCUCCCCUUUCCCCCUUGGGAACCCCAAGUCUGCUCUUCUUAGCCAUGAUCUGUUUCUGUUUUUUGUUAUUUUUAGAUAGAAUCUUCUGUUCCAUACUUUAGAUUUCACAAAUAAGUGAUAUCAUAUGGUAUUUGUCUCUCUCUCUCUGACUGACUUCACUUAGUUCGAGAGUCUCUAGAUCAUCCAUGUUGCUGCAAAUGGCAUUAGUUUGUCUUUUCUGUGGCUAAUAUUUCAUUUUAUAUAUGUAGCACAUCUUCUUAAUCCAUUCAUCUGUCAAUGAACAUUUAGGUUGUUUCUAUGUCUUGGCUAUGUGAAUAGUGCUGCUAUGAACAUAGGGGUGCAUUUAUCUUUCACAACAAAAGUUUUGCCCAGCAGUGGAAUUGCUGGAUCAUAUGGUAACUCUAUAUUUAUUUUCCCGAGGUACCUACAUGCUGUUUUCCAUAGUGGUUGUACCUAUUUACAUUCCCACCAACAGUGAAGAAGGUAUCUUUUUGUCCACAUCCUCUCUAGCAUUUGUUAUUUGUUGACUUGUUAAUGAUGGCCAUUUGACUGGUGUGAGAUGGUACCUCAUAGUAGUUUUGAUUUGCAUUUCUUUAAUAAUUAGUGAGGUUGCAUUGCCUAUUUGCUGUUUUGGGGGUUUCACCAUAAGAGUAUCUGUGGGAGCUCUUGCUAUCCUUAUGGAAAUUCCCAGUUGUAGUGGAAUUUCCCAAGUGUAGAGACAUUUUCUCAGAGAACAGGAAAUUUCUCCAAAGCAGAAACCUUGAAUCUCUAGAUUAUGUGACAGGGAAAUUGAAGAGGAGAUCCCUGCUUUGCAUGCAAUUUCAAGCCUUAUCUUACUCUUUCCAAAGAAGGAAAUAACUUUUCUAAAAUGACUGAGGAAAGUGGCCACAUUAGAGCCAGGUCUCUGUAGCAUGGUCAAGGAAUCCUCUUUACUAAACAGUAUUUGGUCUGAACUGAAUUACACACUCACCACAUGAGCUGAGCAGUAUCCUGCCAUAACCCUGGUCCACUUGUGAUUAAAAUUCAGAAAAUGAGCAGAUUAGAACACUGCCAAGAGGGAGUCGAAUUUCAUGCAAAAAAGUAAACAGUGAAAUGUAUUUUCUUAAUUCUGAAUCUGAGCAUUUCAUGUUAUUCUUGUUUACUUUUAAAUAGUUUCAUAAAAUUGUUAACUGUUAGUAUUUAAAUUUUAAAUAUUCUAAAGGACAAAUACCAUGUAUCACUUAUAUGUGGAAUCUAAAAUGUGGCACAAAUGAAUCUAUCUAUAGAACAGAAACAGACUCAGAGAACAGACUUGUGGUUGCCAAGUGGGUAUGGGGGAGGGAAUGGGAUGGCCUGGGAGCUUGGGGUUAGUAGAUGCAAACUAUGACAUUUAAAAUGCAUAAGCAAUGAGAUCCUGCUGUACAGCAUAGGGAAUAUAUAUAGUCUCCUGAGAUAGACUAUGAUGGAAAAGAAUAUUAAGAGUAUAUGUAUGUAUAACUGAGUCAUUUUGCUGUAUAGCAGAAAUUGGUACAAUACUAUAAAUCAACUACUCUUUAAAAAUAGGCUUGGCAACAGGCAUUCACAGGAAAGAAAAUUUAACUAUCUUAUAAGUUGACUAAAGCAGAGCUUUAAGGAUUUCUUUCCCGAGAUAUCACCUUGCUUAAGCUUCAGUAUGCCAACACUGGCACAAAUAAAGUUCUGUAAGGGAAAACCUAAUCAAUAUCAAAUCCUUAAUCAGUUAUGUUAAAUGAAGUCAUUUCCUUCUUGGUAAUCAGGUUGGGUGCAUUUAUAUUCAUGGUCAUUUUUUUUUAACAUGGAAGAGAGCUAGCUAGGAUUCCCAGUCUGUAUGAAAUACAUAUAUUGAAGGUGGGGUCAUUAAGGGAAAAAUCUUUUCUCCCUUGAGUUUCAUGGGCUAGGGUGAAGGAAAACAUUGGCCAAUAUUCCAGGAUAGAUGUGCAUGGGCAUAAAACUUGCUCAACCCUUGGGAAUACUCUUUCAUCACACUGAUGACUCUUUUCAAUAGCAGAAGAAAAUUAGACUGCAGCCACACUCAUCUCUUCAUGUGAGCCGUAGGCUGGAGCUAUAUUAAUCUAUGGAGGGCCUGAGCUGAAUUGAAGUCACGUGAACUUUGAUGUCAAAUGACUGGCUCUUGCCCCUACUGACAAACCUUUCUAAGUGUGCAGAGAUGUGUCCCCAGGAUCUCAUGCCGAAUGUGCAGGACACCACUGGAGGCCCUGUAGACAUGGAAAAAAUUAAACAACAGAGCAGACCCCGAAGAUAACAUUACAAGAAGUGAUGUUUGAAAUGACUGGCAAGACAGUUUAAAAGUCUUAGUAGAAAUUCUAGGUUUAUGGACUUCUCUGUGGAUCGAGAGAUCAUAUGUACAGUUGAACUAAUGUGGGGGUUGGAGCAUCAACCCCUCCCCAUGCAGUUGAAAAUCUGUGUACAGCUGUACAGUCAGCCCUCCCUAUUCAUGGUUUACACCUUCGAACUUAACCACAGAUCACAUCAUACCAUUUUUUAAAUGUGCUUGUAAGUGGACCAGUACAGUUGAAACCCAUGUUGUCCAAGUGUCAACUGUGAUUGGUUUGGGGAGAAAUAAAAAACCCUGAAUUUAGGAUAGUAUUUCUCCAUACCCACACCUAGGAAGGAAAAAGUAUUUAAAGUUCAUUGAGGAAAAGAUUUUGAGACACUAUUGAGAUAGAGGAAGCUUAGGAGAGAGCUUUGGGAGGACACAGACUCAGCAGGGCUUUACCUGACACCCCUGGAGCCCAGUGGAGGCCAGGAUGUGGGCACGCUCAGGUGACAUGUGGGAGGGCACUGCACUCCCAGAAAAGCCUGAGAGGCUAUAGGACCUUGGAUCAGAGACUAAGUGAUUUGGAGGGAGGGAGCAGGGUUCCAUGAGCUGCACAUCUGCACAUUCUAGGGGGUGGGGGAAAGAGCAUCAGCUGUGACCAAGAUGAAUUUCCUGCUACUCAGUGGGAAGAAAACUUGAAACAUAGGAUUUAGGUUAACAAUGGAAUUAAUUAUUCCACUGGUGAAUUUUUCUUUUUAUGCCCACAUCUCAGAUCUCUGUGAGACCUCUGUCAAUACCUCAAUCUUAUAUUCUGUGUAAAACUCUGUUCACUCAAACUGCCUAUGGACUCAGUGGUCAAAGUGAUAUGAGAAAUUAUAGUUCUGAAUCAUCAACUGCCUAGAUGUGUGACCUCCCAUACUUUACUCACCCUUUCUAUGGUAUUGUCCUUAUAUUAGAUAAAAGAUCUGGGAGAGUUUUCUAGAAACAUGUGCUCUGGUCUUUACUUGUAUCUCCAAUCUUUCUUCCUACCACCUCCUCCAAACUUGACCUUUGUCAUAAUCCACACACAUCACAAUAGUGUGUGUGUUACUUUGAGUUCCUUGCUCAGCCACCCCCACUCCUAGCCUCUGCAAUAGCUAUUCCCUCUCAGGGACAGUUCUAUUCUCAAAGAUCAUUCUUGAAUGGCUUCUUCUUGACAAUUAGGCUAUAACUCCAACACAUCACCCCAGAGGUUUUUCCCUAUUUAUACUGGUUCCCCCCAACUCCAACAUUCAUGGUCACUUCUGCUACCAUAUCUUUUUUCUUGAUUUUACUUAUCUUCCUUUAAAAUAUAACUUACAUGAGAAUGAGGACCUCACCAUCACAUCCCCAAUGCUUAGAAAGUUGAAUGGCACAGAAAUUACCAAAUAAAAGUAUCCAUUUCAUCUUUAAAAUUCAACAUCAGUUAAAGAUACUAAUGUAAAGUCAUUAAACCACACAGCUUAAUUUUUAAUUUUGGAUGUGGUCUCACACCCACGUGAUCACAGCCCCUUGGUUUGCUGUCUACAACUACUGUGGCUCUGUUUCUAAAUAUCCUACUUGCCUUUAUUUGGAAAUGAUUUUAAGCAAUGAAAUUAAGGUGACUGUAAAGACCUUUGUUUGCUUUUAACCAUGUGAAUGCUACCAUUUGUAAGGAAGUUUAGAUUUGUUCCAAGAGGAACUAGUGGUGAAACUGCAGUCCAAGGAGUAAAAGAGGCGUUUUGACUCAUCUAUGGGAAGAAGUUUCUAAGGGUCAGAACAGUGUUUCAAGGUACUAAGUGCUGAGUUUUUAAGGACAAAAGCAGUGAUCAUGGUCUGCUGUGCGUACUUGGAGAAGGAAACAUGGAGUGAGAUGUUGAAAGAGAACAUUUAAGGGUCAUUCCAAAGCUACACUCCCAGGGACUCUGUGCUUCUUUUAUAUUAGAGUGCCACAUACAUUUUUAUGAAUAUUUUUUUCACUGUUCAAAAGACCUAUCAUGAACAGCUUGCUUCCCCUUUACUUAAUGUUUUCUCAACAUGCCUAAGCCAUCAAAGAGGCUUCAUGAAGUAACUAAAUGCUUCUGUAACUUUGAAUCUUGGGGAAAAAAAAGACACAGCAUAUAUUAGCCAAAUGGUGAGACAGAUGUUCCAGAAUGGCAGUGCUCAAGGAGGUGAUUAAAAUGCCAAAUAGCAUCUUACUGUCCCUUGAACGGAAAUAUCCUUGAAAACUGUAGUGCACAAAUAUUUUGAGGGAGAAUAAUAGUGAAUAAUGUUGUGAAUAAGCAACAUAAAGUAGUAUUCUUGUCUUGUAUAUUGUUGUCUUAAUGAGAAUCCCUAUUUUCCUGAACAUAGUAGGCAUUCAACAAAUUAGUGAUUAAAUGGAAAAAAAUUACACAUGCAAAAACUACAGUGGAGAUGUAUGCAUAUAACUCAAUCAAAAUGCAAAUGUGGGAGUUCCCAUCAUGGCUCAGUGGUUAGCGAACCCGACUAGCAUCCCUGAGAUGUGGGUUCGAUUCGUGGCCUCAUUCAGUGGGUUAAGGAUCUGGUGUUGCCGUGAGCUGUGGUGUAGGUUGCAGACGAGGCUUGGAUCCCAUGUUACUGUGGUGUAGGCUGACAGCUACAGUUCCAAUUAGACCCCUAGCCUGGGAACUUCCAUAUGCUGCAGGUGGGGCCCUAAAAGACAAAAACAAACAAACAAA
rnacentral:lncRNA from 1 species